AACGACACACUGAAUAACGGGGGAUUGAUUACUAAUCCCUUUUAUCCGUCAAUUGCCUUUUUACGGAGGUCUUUAGCACUGGUGCUUCUUUGGAGGUCUUUAGGCACAAAAAUAAACACACAAAAACAUUGCCUCCUAUCGAGGUCUUCCAGCUAAGAAAACGGUAAAAUGCGGGAAAAAUAAAAGGGAUCAGAGAUCUACCACAUGGAUAAAGAUCCGAAGUAACAA
rnacentral:lncRNA from 1 species